rnacentral:tRNA from 1 species
GUAAAAAAAGUGUUGUUGCAUAUAUUUUUGUCAAAAAUAAGGAUAUUUUACA